rnacentral:ncRNA from 2 species
UUUCUAUUAAGAGAGGUGGAGGGACUGGCCCGUCGAAACCUCGGCAACAUAAUGUGCCAAUUCCAGCAAGCAUUGCUUGAAAGAUAGAAA